GGCUUGUAGCUCAGGUGGUUAGAGCGCACCCCUGAUAAGGGUGAGGUCGGUGGUUCAAGUCCACUCAGGCCUACCAA
rnacentral:tRNA from 5 species